UGAUUAGCUGCACAGGAAAUGUGCAAAAACAUAAAUAGAUCAGAAAGUAACUAAGUAAUAAAAAAUAAUAUGCACACCUGCUGCUGCAGAAAUAAAUACCUGACAAAAUGAGGAAGCAGAAAGUUUCACUGGUGAAGUUCAGAAGAACACCACAAAUAUUCAUAUUUCACAAAAUAUGUUGAGCAACAGUUGCUGCUAUAAUUGAAAGUUUUUAAUUGUUCAAGAAAUUUAAUAGGAUGUUAUUAAGGAAUACAGAUUCAUUUAGUCUCCAUGUGAUGCUGAGUUUGUGGGUUCCUCUCCUCUGCUCUCGUCUUUUAUUGUUUCCUGUUUUGAUCCGCAGAGAAAAACUCUGAGAUCCUCUGACAUGCAGAGAUCCAGGAAGAGGAAGAGGAUGUUUUCAGUGAGUGUCAAACUGCUGCUGGUCUCAGUGGAUCCAGCUGCAGGAUGGAGGGAACAUCUGUCCACAGGCUGCUGGCUCUGAUCUCUCUGCUGAGCCGCUCAACAAACCAAGCUGCUCUGACUGUGAGUCCCAGCAGAUCUCAGUUCUUUGAAUUUGAAUCUGUGACUCUGACCUGUGAGGAUGGAAACAGCUCUGAUGGAGGGACUGUGAGGAG